CUGGACAAUUUACAAAAGAAAGAGGCUUAUUGAACUUACAGUUCCACAUGGCUGGGGAGGCCUCACAGUAAUGGCAGAAGAUGCUGAACAGAUGCCAGUGCAAUGCUUUUGGUACUUCUCAGUCUGCAGAACUGGAGUUGAAAACAAGGCUACAGUCAACAAGUCAUGAUACCACGAUAAACAUUUUAAAUGAGGAAAAUUUAAGAAAAUCCCAGUGUAUUCACCUAUGAAGUGUAAAGUCAUGGGCAACAUGAGAACAAUGCAACUAUGGCACACAUUUAGACACUGUUACAUGACUAACAACAACAAAAAAGUUUUACAGAGCCUGAAAUUAUAUUCAGCAUAAUUUUUGUACUUAUAUACACUACUACUGUAUACAUUAAAAAUUAAUGUCAUUAAUUUCCUCUAAAAAGUGAUUAUUCUUAA